AACCGAAACUAGCAAUCCCAGGCGGUACAAGGCCCUCCAUCGUAGGCAAAGCACUACCUGAAUGUAGAUUUGGGCCAUACGUUGGAAAAUAAGACAUGAGAGUAUGCUCCGAUCAACUUUUACUGUUCACUGGACAACUAUUUUGGGAAUUUGCAGACCUAUAAAGCCCAUCUAUAAAUCUCAAGCAUGUCCACUUUCAGAGAAGAGAAAUGCUGACAACCAUUUAGUCUCUGAGGACAACACUUUUAAAGUGUAACAAUGUGGCAUCCAGAGCUUAUCCAGAUGAGCGGAGAGCAAAUGAAUUUCCUUCUGCUCCCCUGUUGAAGAGGAGAGAAAAAUUCUUCAAGCUGGAGAACUACUUGAUCUUAAAAAAAAAAAAAGUUGGCUGAUGUUACAGAAAUAUUUCCAAGUCACUUCUGAAGACUGUGGACAUUUAACCCUAAUGCAGUUUCUGCAGUAGAAAACAGAAUUUAUAUACCUAAUUUGCAUACAUAUUUGAGUUUGUUGCAUACACACAUAUAUUUGUUAGAAAACUGUGUAACAAAAUAAAUGAAACCUGCUGAAAUGAUUAUCUUUCAAAACUGCCAGACGUGGCAGCAGAGUAAUGACAGUAAGUUUAGCAUUCUGUUGCUGUAAAACAACUGAAAUCCACUGGCAUUUUAAAUUUUAAAAAUCAUUUAUUUUUUAGUAAGUGCAGUUUUUUGUUCUUGAUGUUUUCUAGACGUCGCAUUAGCAGUGUUUAGUCAAAUCUCAAUUAUAUUUUAAUUCCUAAAUACGCAGUUAUGCAAAGUAAAGCUUAAAGUAUUGAUCACAGCCUCCUUCCUGUCAUAUGUAGCACCUGUUCUUCUCAUCGCUGGACCUAUAAAGUGGCAUUAAUCAUCAAGAGUCCAGCAGAAUUGGGAAAGUCAUGUAUGCUGCAAAGUACAUUCCAAAGUCUUAAAAUAUUCUUGUCUUAUCCACUGUUGUUUAUUUGUUUACUUAUUUUUAAACAAACAUCUGUUUGAAAGAGGGAGUGCUAACUGUGUGUUCUGGUAUCCCUUACCUGAAAAAUGCCUUCCUCUGUGGGUCUCAGUGAAUCCCACUCAGGAGAAUCCAGGAACUGAAGGGGGAAAAUGUAAUGCAGAAAUUCGCCAUCAACUGUCACUCUGAUCCUAUCAAAACACAAGAACAACAUUUAUAAGGGAAGGAGAAAGAGAGCACAUAAUUGGGGAGGGGUGGGGGGUAGAGGAAGUGUAUUUCAGAUCCCUGAUGACUCUUGCCCUUUAUGAUUUUGAAAGGCAAAAUAUUAAAUUCAUACAUUAUAAUAAGUGACAUAAUGUCCUGUAAGAUUCAUGUUAUCAUGUUCCUUAUACAGUCAGGAUUCUGGAAUAUUGAGUGAAAUUCAUCAGAAAAUUCAUCAAGUUGUACAUUUAUAUAUGUCCAUUUAUGUGUGCAUAUUAUACUUCAAUAAAACAUUUUAAUGGA
rnacentral:lncRNA from 1 species